ACGAGUUUUCCAUCCCCGAGGCCGAAGGGAUGCAGGUGUCUGCAGGGUGGGCUGUUCUGAGGGAGCUUGGCCUUGCAGCUGCCGUGAGUGCCGGUACCCGGGGACAGCGGCAGUGCCCCGGGCUGCCGACACAGCCGAGCCCAGGAAACUUUGCCCGGCAGCACCCGGUGGUAGGGGUAUGCCCGUGCUCCCAAACGGGACUGCAGGCAGCGCUUACCGCCCCUCGGAGCCGGCCAGGAGCACACCUGAGUGCUUCCCUUUUGCCGGUGCCGAGGAGCAGCCCGGCCUCCAGGGGCAGAACGUGGCCGGCAGCUCUGACACUGUCCCGCCGUGGCUCCGGGACUGCCCGCGUCCCUCAGACACGGCCCCCCGCCGCCAUCUUGCUAACGGCGCCGCUCCAGGGCGCGGGGCCGGGCGCUGUGGUGCCCUCUGCCCGCCGCGGUGAGGGGCCGGGCGUCGCGGAGCCCCGGCUCGCCAUGGCGGGGCGCCGGGCGCUGUGGAGCUACUCCGUGCAGCUCGUCGCUCUGCCCUCAGCGGCGGGCUGGUCAGGUGGAACGCCGCAGCCGUUUAACAGCUCCUACCGGAGACCUACAGAGCCUCCGCCGUGCAAGGGGUGGAGCGGCACCAUGGAGGAGGAGGAGAAGGGGGACGAGACUCUUCAGGGGCGGCAGCAGCAGCCGGGGAGUUCUCCUGAAAAAGGUAUGGAUAAGAACACAGAUGAAGAGCAGCCUUCAACUGCCUGUAGCCAGUACCCCAAGGAAGCAGUGAAGAAACGUCAGAAUUCGGGUCGAGGUUCCGGGGGCAAUGAUUCUUCCAGGACCUUCAGAAAAAGCUUCAGGCUGGACUACAGAUUAGAAGAGGAUGUAACUAAAUCAAAGAGGGGCAAAGAUGGGAGAUUUGUCAACCCAUGGCCAACAUGGAAAUCACCAACCUUACCCAACAUUCUGAAAUGGUCCUUCAUGGAAAAAAAUAACAGCAAUGUGCCACGCUCCAAGCAGGAACUCGACAAAGAACUCCCAGUGUUACAGCCUUACUUUGUUCAGACACCAGAAGAUGCUGGGAAGACAGGAGCCGGUAUGCGAGUCACGUGGCUGGGACACGCCACAGUCAUGGUGGAAAUGGAUGAACUUGUGUUUCUGACUGACCCCAUCUUCAGCCAGAGAGCUUCCCCUAUCCAGCUGCUGGGUCCCAAGCGCUUCCGAGGGCCGCCGUGCACGGUGGCGCAGCUGCCCAGGAUAGACGCGGUGCUGAUCAGCCACACCCACUACGAUCACCUGGAUUACAACAGCGUGGCCAGCCUGAACCAGCGCUUCGGGAGCGAGCUGCGCUGGUUUGUGCCCCUGGGGCUCCUGCAGUGGAUGCAGAGAUGCGGCUGUGAGAACGUGAUCGAACUGGAUUGGUGGGAGGAGAACUGUGUGCCUGGUCACGAUGCGGUGACUUUUGUCUUCACCCCUUCCCAACAUUGGUGCAAAAGGACUGUGACAGAUGAUAACAAGGUUCUCUGGGGCAGCUGGUCUGUCUUGGGACCUUGGAAUAGGUUUUUCUUUGCAGGAGAUACUGGAUAUUGUUUGGCUUUUGAGCAAAUAGGUAAAAGGUUUGGACCUUUUGAUCUUGCAGCCAUCCCCAUUGGAGCUUAUGAACCAAGGUGGUUUAUGAAAUACCAGCAUGUGGAUCCUGAAGAAGCUGUAAGAAUCCAUAUUGAUGUUCAAGCAAAGAAGUCUGUAGCAAUUCAUUGGGGGACCUUUGCUUUAGCAAAUGAGUAUUAUUUGGAUCCUCCAGUUAAAUUGAAUGAAGCUCUUGAAAGAUAUGGCUUGAAAAAAGAUGACUUCUUUCUCUUACACCACGGAGAAUCACGGAAUUUGAAUACAAAUGAAAACUGAAACAGUGUCAGUUCCUUGUAAGCCCUGUUUGAUUUGAACUAGCAAUUAACGUUACAAUACUAACAUAAUGUACACAAUAGAUUUUUGAGAUUGAAUUUGACUUCUAAAUGCCAGGUUUGUCAGUUUCAGAACUACAGCUUGCAUACCAAUUUAAUGACAAAUUUUACUGCUUAUAUUGUUUAUAAAUUUAGAGAGGUGAUCUAAAAGUGGUUUAUAUAUUAAGUGUUGUCUGGGAAUAACUUGGUGGAUGUUCACCACUGAUUAAAAAAAAAAAAUUAAACUCUUCAUCUUACCUGCAGCAGCAAUAACAACUUCAGCACAGAACAUAUUCUUAGGAUUAAUGGCUGACUUGAAUUAUUCAUUGUUAGACUGUCAUCUCCCACUUGUUAGUCUUCAGGUUAUGCCCUGUACCUUGCUGUACACGCUUCAUACAGCUUCACUGUAUGUUUUGUGGGGUGAAGUCUUCCAAUACAGCUGUGUUGUUUAAGCACAAGCAUGGUAAAAUUGUUUCACUCUUCAUUUUCGUGUAUUAAUGAACCACAAGAGCUGAAUUUUACAUCAAAAUGUGCCUUUUAAAGAAAGAGAUAAUGUAAUAUUGCAUCAUGGAUGUGUAAAACUAACUGCUGGCCAGAAUAUCUGCACACUUUUAUUGUUUUGUCUAUAUUUUUAAGUUAGGUCUGAAUGUGUCAAUUGCAGCACAUGAAGUGGAAAAACCUCUUUAAUGUUGCUUGUCCUUGCAUUAACUCAGCCUUUUUCUAAAUACUUUCCCCGCCCCCCACCCCCCUCCCCAGUAGAAAGUCUUAAGCAAGGGCUGUGGUAUUUUUCUAAUAGCUUCCCUAUGAUUUUAAAGUUGAAUGAGAGUACAGCAUUGUUCAGUGUUAUAAAACUUGGCCAAAUGUGUCUGUAACAAAUUGUCUUGCUAAUUUACAGAAUUAAAGCCUGUUGUUGCCAAUAAAAAGGGUUGUUAUUCUCCUUCAUAAUUUCAUUAGCAAAUCAUGUUUUGUUUAUAAUUUCUUUUGGUCUGUGGGAUAUGUGGGUUGGUUUGGGUUUGUUUUUUUUUUUUUUUUGCUCUUGCUGUACAUUUUAUUUUCAUAUCCCACAAAGAUAAAUAUAUAUAAAAAAGAUAUUAUUUAAAGGCAUGAACUUCUGGCAACUAAUUAAAACCAGUUAAUGAGAUUUCACGGUAGGAAGAACUGAGGUAAUCUUUUAACUAGAGACAGUUAUCAAAACUGGUUUCAAAUGACCCCGUUAUUCAGUGUUGGAGGUGUUUCAGAUGAAGUCUCUUGUAUUUACACAACAGCUUCAAUCACAACUUGGGUGAUACAAUGUAUAUUACCUGUUUGUAAUUUUGUGGAGGACACCAAGCUGCAAGAAGUUUUGAGUACUUUGAAGGGCAAGUUUAAGUGUUUUAGGAGCAGUGGGAAGGAGAAAAGGAAGUUCACUGUCAAUGCAGCAAUUGUCAAGUUUCUGACUGGGAAUCAUGCCAACUUCUAUUUCUGCCUUAACUGUAUUCCUGGGUGAUGCAGCAAAGAUGCCAGUCUCUGAGCAAAGGGGGCAGAGUCCCUGCAGAGUGUGAAGAAAAUUGAGUCUUCACUGUGUUCCUCAAUUGUGGUGCCUUCUUCAUCCUUCAUGUUCUUUUUCAAGUUUGCUGCAAACGCCAGGGCUCGAACCAGAACAUCUCUGUUUACACAGUUGUCAAAAAGUAACACCAGUGAUGGCACCUAGGAUAUUGAAGAAAUAGUCCACACUUUAUCACCAGCAGUAAGUACAUGUAACUAAAUCAAACUUAAGAAAAUGGGAAAAAAAUGAGCACCUCAACCAUCUAAAGCAGAAAUUGUAUGAAAUCCCAGUAUGCUGUGAACUCCUGUCAGAAACCUGCACAGUGCACACAUUUUCUCUCUGGAAAAGACUGGCCUGUGCAUCAGUGGGCUAAUAAAUGCUUUGUAUUUUCAAUCUCCAAAAUGUGGCUGUCUGGAAAAUUUUCCCAUGUGGAAGAGAGGGUCUGCUUUCCUUCUCAGCCACGCUGAUUUUGCCCUGAAUGUUUUUGUUAGCAUAUCUGAUAAAUGAAAAAUGAUGCACUUAACAGAGAAUUGAAUAUUUAGCUACACUAACCUCAUUUGAAUAACGAAAAGACAGGAUUAUCUAGCUUUGCUCAUGGCAGACAGCUCACAAAUAAAAACCAUUGCACAUUUUAAGAAAGUUACUUUGGGGAGGAGGAUGAGGAUGCAGCACUCUUCCAGCCCCUGACUUUGUUUGUGAGGAACUGAAACUGAAACUGAAAGAAACCUGUGUGCCAAGGCAAACACAGCAAAUGUCACACAAAUUUGUCCACGAAGAAAUAAGUAAAUGCACAGGGAAAGUUCACUUAGAGGCAACAGUUUUAUGGCUGUAUUUGAAUAAAGUGGUGGGGAUUCCAGUGGAAUUUGGUUGGGUUUGGUCCAGUACAUUGGCUAUAGAAACAGCAGUUGAGAAGGAUCACUUACAGUACCAGUUCUAUUUGAUAGUUUUCAAUCUAUAUACUGACUGUGUCUGGAAGUGAAGUUUUGGGUUCAUUUUACAUAAUACAAACUAAAGUUCAUGGUAUUAUCCCUUUGGUGGAAAGGGAAGGUUAGAACAGGCUUCUGCAAGUUAUCAUUGAUUAUUUGGAAUGGUACACAGGAAGUACAACCAACUGUCUCCAAGUGCUCUGUCCCUCUCCCUCUCUAAGUACAGUAUCUGUAUUACACUACCCUCUGGAAUACAGCCCACCCAUGAAAGAAUGUGCACUUAUCCACUGGUUUUAACAAAGCAGGUCUAGAAUUUAUUCUGGAAUUGCAUAUUUAUUUCUGAUACAUUAAAAUUCUUCUAGUGCAUGCAAUAUCUAAACUCUGGUGCACAUGUAUAUAUGCUAAAAAUAAAAUGAAGCAGCAAGAACCUUA